rnacentral:lncRNA from 1 species
AAAUAAUACAACAAUAAUACAUAAAUACACGCAAACAAAAAAAAAAAUGCAUAAACAGAUUACAGCGUAUUAUUUCAAAACAUCUCAUUUCAAUUAUACAUAUACAUAUAUACAUAUAUUUUUUUUUAUGGUAAUUUUAGCGAAUUAAGCAAUGUAAAUCAAUCAGAAGAAUUAAUCAGACUUCAAAAAGAAAAUGAAAAAUUAAGAAAUAAAAUAGAAUCUGAUACAAAUAAAGAAUCAAAGAGAGUGAAAGAAGUUAGUUUAAUAACUUUAUUAUGCAUUCAAGUUGUAUACAAAUUCACACAUAUGUAUAUAUGUAUGGUACACCUAAGUUAGUGAGAAAAUUUAUUUUACAUAUUUUUUUUACGUAACCGUAUUUUUACCCUGUUUUAUUUUAGCUUGAAAAAGAACUCAAGGAUUUGAAAGAAAUAAAUAACAAUUUAAAGAAUGAAGUAUUAAAAGACACAAAUAAUAACAACGCUCAAACUAAUCCACAACAGGAGAAAUAUGAAGCACAAAAUGAAAAAAUCAUCAAAUUAGAAGCUGAGCUAUUAAUUGAAAAAAAAAAAUAGUACAAUUAUUGAAGAAACGACUAAAAAUAAAUUAACAAAGGAAUUUAAUGCUGCAUUGCAAAUUUUUAAAGAACAAUUACAAAUUAGGGAAAAGGAAACUGAAUAUUACAAAGAAACAAUGAAAACACAGAUAGAUACUUUUAAAGACGAACAAAAAUUAUUAAGCGAUAUUAUUCACAACUUAGGCCUAAAAUAUAAACAAUUACAAACUUAUAAUCUUUGUUUAAAGAAUGAAAUUACAGGAAUUAAAUUAAGAACCAAAGCUUGUACAAAUUCCGACAACAAAUAAAAUCCCAGUUUUAUACAUAUAUAAUACUCCUUACAAUUAUUUUUUUUCUGUUUUUAAAUUAUUUUAAUUUUUUAAUAAGUCAAAACAUCAACAAAAUAACAUCAUGAAUAAAGUAAAUACUUCAUAUUUGUACA